rnacentral:rRNA from 1 species
UUCCUACGGGACGCAGCAGUGGGGAGUAUUGGGCAAUGGGCGCAAGCCUGACCCAGCGACGCCGCGUGAGGGAAGACGGUCUUCGGAUUGUAAACCUCUUUCAGCAGGGAAGACAAAAGGACGGUACCUGCAGAAGAAGCCACGGCUAACUACGUGCCAGCAGCCGCGGUAAUACGUAGGUGGCAAGCGUUAUCCGGAAUUACUGGGUGUAAAGGGUGUGUAGGCAGGUUUGCAAGUCAGAUGUGAAAAUUAUGGGCUCAACCCAUAACCUGCGUCUGAAACUACAGAUCUUGA